rnacentral:rRNA from 1 species
UACGGGGGGUGCGAGCGUUACUCGGAAUAACUGGGCGUAAAGGGUACGCAGGCGGUUUUUUAAGUGAGGUGUGAAAUCCCCGGGCUUAACCUGGGAAUUGCAUUUGAUACUGGGAGUCUAGAGUACUUUAGGGAGGGGUAGAAUUCCACGUGUAGCGGUGAAAUGCGUAGAGAUGUGGAGGAAUACCGAAGGCGAAGGCAGCCCCUUGGAAAUGUACUGACGCUGAUGUGCGAAAGCGUGGGGAGCAAACAGG